GUGUUAUCUGCUUCCCGGUCUACCAGCCUGUGAGAACCAAUAAUGUACUGCCAAAAGUCAGGCCUCCCUGUUCCUUCCUUGAAAUAAGUGACUGGUUUUCCCCAUCAGAUAUUUUGUCACAGAAAGUACAGAAACAAAUUCAAAAGUAACAGCCAUCUUUCCUGUUUAAAUCCCCUUUCAGAAGUUACAAAGCAAGCAGAAGGGUGUGUCUGCUGAUCUUACACACACUACUUACUCCUUACUCCACUGCAUACUGUCAACACGUAGCUAACUACCUUCCUCUAGACCUCUAAUUUCAUCAUUAGGAAAGAGGAAGUUCAGAUAUAAUUAUUACACAUAAUGGAAUCAUUAGAAACUGUAAAUUUAUAGAAACCAAACUCAAAUGCUCUUCCUUUAUGCCUAGAUCAAUUUGGUUUCCAAUUAACUACUAGAGGUGAUGAACCUGAGUAAUUUUUAUUCUAGGAAGAACUUAGCAAAGACAUGGAACUCAGGAUGAAAAAACUAAAAUGGAAAAUUUCCAUUCCGUGCCUUCUGAGGCUGCUGCUGAUGUUGGACCUUCCACUUCUACUGCUGACAGCCUGGAUGCUGCUGAGCCUGCGCAGACUAAGUCCACCAAGGAGGCUGCCAGUCUGACUGCAGUUGAGCCUGAGCCAACUAAGUCCACCAUUGCCGCUGACAGUCUGACUGCAGUUGAGCCUGCGCAGACUAAGUCCCCCA
rnacentral:lncRNA from 1 species